AGAGUUUGAUCCUGGCUCAGGAUGAACGCUAGCGACAGGCUUAACACAUGCAAGUCGAGGGGCAGCAUGAACUUAGCUUGCUAAGUUUGAUGGCGACCGGCGCACGGGUGAGUAACGCGUAUGCAACUUACCUAUCAGAGGGGGAUAGCCCGGCGAAAGUCGGAUUAAUACCCCAUAAAACAGGGGUCCCGCAUGGGAAUAUUUGUUAAAGAUUCAUCGCUGAUAGAUAGGCAUGCGUUCCAUUAGGCAGUUGGCGGGGUAACGGCCCACCAAACCGACGAUGGAUAGGGGUUCUGAGAGGAAGGUCCCCCACAUUGGUACUGAGACACGGACCAAACUCCUACGGGAGGCAGCAGUGAGGAAUAUUGGUCAAUGGCCGAGAGGCUGAACCAGCCAAGUCGCGUGAAGGAAGAAGGAUCUAUGGUUUGUAAACUUCUUUUAUAGGGGAAUAAAGUGGAGGACGUGUCCUUUUUUGUAUGUACCCUAUGAAUAAGCAUCGGCUAACUCCGUGCCAGCAGCCGCGGUAAUACGGAGGAUGCGAGCGUUAUCCGGAUUUAUUGGGUUUAAAGGGUGCGUAGGUGGUGAUUUAAGUCAGCGGUGAAAGUUUGUGGCUCAACCAUAAAAUUGCCGUUGAAACUGGGUUACUUGAGUGUGUUUGAGGUAGGCGGAAUGCGUGGUGUAGCGGUGAAAUGCAUAGAUAUCACGCAGAACUCCGAUUGCGAAGGCAGCUUACUAAACCAUAACUGACACUGAAGCACGAAAGCGUGGGGAUCAAACAGGAUUAGAUACCCUGGUAGUCCACGCAGUAAACGAUGAUUACUAGGAGUUUGCGAUAUAAUGUAAGCUCUACAGCGAAAGCGUUAAGUAAUCCACCUGGGGAGUACGCCGGCAACGGUGAAACUCAAAGGAAUUGACGGGGGCCC
rnacentral:rRNA from 1 species